rnacentral:rRNA from 1 species
AGUGAACGCUGGCGGUAGGCCUAACACAUGCAAGUCGAACGGCAGCACAGUAAGAGCUUGCUCUUACGGGUGGCGAGUGGCGGACGGGUGAGGAAUACAUCGGAAUCUACUUUUUCGUGGGGGAUAACGUAGGGAAACUUACGCUAAUACCGCAUACGACCUACGGGUGAAAGCAGGGGAUCUUCGGACCUUGCGCGAUUGAAUGAGCCGAUGUCGGAUUAGCUAGUUGGCGGGGUAAAGGCCCACCAAGGCGACGGUCCGUAGCUGGUCUGAGAGGAUAGUCAGCCACUGUAGAACUGAGAAACGAUCUAGGCGCCGAGGAGAGGCAGCAGAGGGAAAUAUUGAACAAGGGGGGCAAGCCUGAUCCAGCCAUACCGCGUGGGUGAAGAAGGCCUUCGGGUUGUAAAGCCCUUUUGUUGGGAAAGAAAAGCAGCAGGUUAAAACCCCGCUGUUCUGACGGUACCCAAAGAAGAAGCACCGGCUAACUUCGU